UACGAACCGUCCGAACGUUAUUCGGAAUCACUGGGCUUAAAGGGUGCGUAGGCGGCUCGGAAAGUUGGGUGUGAAAUCCCUCGGCUUAACCGAGGAAUAGCGCUCAAAACUACCGAGCUCGAGGGAGACAGAGGUGAGCGGAACUUAGGGUGGAGCGGUGAAAUGCGUUGAUAUCCUAAGGAACACCGGUGGCGAAAGCGGCUCACUGGGUCUUUUCUGACGCUGAGGCACGAAAGCCAGGGGAGCGAACGGG
rnacentral:rRNA from 1 species